AAAAAAGUGGGAGAUAUUAUUGGGAUAUGUAAAGAACCAACAAAGCAUUUUUUUCUUUUCCACUUUUUUUUAUAGCAAUGCCAUAGAAAAGGGGGAAAUGCAAUGGAAAGUUUCAGUUGAUUUUGCUGUUACAUGUUUUUUUUUUUUACCUACUAUGUAUAUCUAAUGCACACAUGCUGACCAGGUUUACAUUUAAGUUUUAUCCUAUGUGUAACCAUGUAUGUGACAACUAGAAAUCUGAAAUCUUAAAGGGAUAGUUCAUCUUCAGUUGCUGGUCCCCAUUGACUUCCAUAGUAUAGGAAAAGAAAAAAAAAAAAAAAAAAAACAAAACUAUAGUGGAAAAGAAAAAAAAAUAAAAAAAAAAACAAAACACUAUGCAAGUUAACGGGGACCAGCAACUGAAGGUGCACUAUUUCUUUAAUGUUAAUGUUAAAUGUUCUUUACGGACCUAAGGUUUAUUUCUGAAAAUGGAUCUGAGGGAAAAACAACAACAACAACAAAAAACAAAAACAAAACACUGACAGGUUAUUUUAUAAUUAUAAAUUCUAAUUAAAAGAUAUGUCUCGAUUUAUCUUGACUUCUAGGCACAAUAAUAAUAAUAAUUUAAAUAAGUAAUAAGUUAAUUAAAAGUCAACAUUAGUGGCAUUAAAAGCAAAGUUCAUAAAAAUGUGCUUUUUGACAAACCAGAAGGCAUGUGAUCAGCGUGCUGUCUGUCUACUACAACAACCAACAAUAAAACCCACGGCUGGUUUGAGGAAAUCACAUCAUCAGUCUCAUGCUGUUGUGUCAGAGUUCCUGCUGACAGACGCCAGAGACCCUGAUGAAGCUGAUGCAGCUGAGUUCCCAGCAGUCAGUCACAGCUCCGGCAGCGCUCAGGACAGCUGGAGACAGACGAGUGAGAGCGGACGUCUUUCACGAGUUACACAAACAACACAUUCAUGUGAUCUACACUCAGAUAUGUGCUGAAGUUCAGCGUUUACAGGACAGGGAUUUUACCAUCAGCUAAAACUAAAACCAUAAAAAAAAAAAAAAAAAAAAAAAAAAAAAAAAAUUUCAUUUUAUUUUAUAAUUUGAUUAUAUUUAUUACAAAUUUACUUAUUUUAUUUUACUGUAGCUAGUUGCCGAGGGAACAUUUCUCAUUUCUCAUGUAGUUUAACUUGAUGUACAAAAAUAACUAAAACUG
rnacentral:lncRNA from 1 species